rnacentral:sRNA from 1 species
AAAGCACACACUUAACAUUACACAUUACACAAUACACUAACACACUUACACAACUAAACCAGACACUUAGACAACUAAACCAGACACUUACACAAUAAACUUACACUCUUAUCACUUACACAAUAAACUUACACUCUUAUCACUUAGUAAAAUGUUGAAACCCUAGAUUCACUAGAGGACAAGAGACUUGAGGCGAUUUGGGCGAAUGCUCAAACUUGAGGAUCGAGUAAUGAGGGUGCUGCAAAGUCUAAGCCUUUGUGUCUAUGCUCCGAGUGAUCAAUUGGACUCCAAACCCUUUACUAGACUAACAAU